CCAUUUUUAAAACGCAGAAGACAUGAACUUCCUCAGCCGCUGACCCUUCGACCUUCACCUUUCGACCUUCACCUUCGUCAGCCGCUGACCCAUUUUCGACCCACCUCCGCCGCUCGCCUCCGAGCCGCCUCCGCCACUCGCCGCCGCGGCUCGUCUCCGAGUUGCCUCCGCCGCCCGCCUCCGCCACUCCCUCGAAGGUCGACGAGCUUCGUCACCCACCUCCACCGCUCGCCUCCACGGCUCGCCCACGAAAUCGAAGGUGUUCGGGCCGACGCCCUGCGGUUUUGGCCUCCAAGGCGUCAAGAGCGAGGUCGUCGGAUCUCAUCCUCUCGAAUCCGCCUACCAAUCGGCCCCAGUCUGUCAGCAGCCACUGAGGAGAUUCCCCAAGAGGAGAUUCUUUGCUGGUUUAGUUUUUUGUUGUAAUUGAAGGUGGAUAAAGCAGAGGCGACUGUGCUGUUUGAGGAGCCAACCAAGGGGAGCAACAAUGUGGGAGUGAUGGUGACUCCGGUUCGUCUUGCCAGCCUUGGCGAAUUCGGGAGUCCUCAGUUUGUCGCGGACAAGCUCAUACAAGCUGAAAAGCACAAAGUAGGUGCUGCUUCAAUCAAUUGCUUGGUUCUAAAUGUGGAAUGUAUUAAUAGUACCGCAUCUGAAGCCUCUUAUGUUUUGGGGCAAUCGAUUAUUUGGUAGAUAAUUUGGUUCUUGGUAGAGUUGCUGAGAAUUGUGUCUUGGAGCUGUCUUAUUGAGGGGAAACAUUGAAGUGAAGUAUCUUUCUGCAGUGCUAAAGAAUUAUUCCUUCGUAUGCAUGGUGACA